rnacentral:misc_RNA from 1 species
GAUGAAGAACGCAGCGAAAUGCGAUAAGUAGUGUGAAUUGCAGAAUUCAGUGAAUCAUCGAAUCUUUGAACGCACAUUGCGCCACUUGGUAUUCCAUGGGGCAUGCCUGUUCGAGCGUCAUUUGUACCUUCAAGCCUUGCUUGGUGUUGGGUGUUUGUCUCGCCUCUGCGCGCAGACUCGCCUCAAAACAAUUGGCAGCCGGCGUAUUGAUUUCGGAGCGCAGUACAUCUCGCGCUUUGCACUCAGAACGACGACGUCCAAAAGUACAUUUUUACACUCUUGACCUCGGAUCAGGUAGGGAUACCCGAUGAACGUAAGCAUAUCAAUAAGCGGAGGA